rnacentral:misc_RNA from 1 species
AACGCACCUUGCGCUCCCUGGUAUUCCGGGGAGCAUGUCUGUUUGAGUGUUAUGAAAUCUUCAACCCACUGUUUCUUGUUAAACGUGAGUGGUGCUUGGAUUCAUGGGCGUACGUGCCAGCCGCUGAGGCUGGCUCGCCCGGAAUGCAUGAGAGCAGCGUCGACCUUCGACAUCUGGCUUGACUUGGCGUGAUAGAUUAUUUCGCUGAGGACAACUUAGGUUGGCCGAUUCGAUGGAAGGGGGCUCCCAAUGAAAAGCUUUACCUUUAACAUUUGACCUCAAAUCAGAUAGGACUACCCGCUGAACUUAA